rnacentral:lncRNA from 1 species
GCUCCGGAGUGGAGAGGGCACCCGGGCCCCGCGGGCUCGCUGGAGCCGCUGCCCGCCUCUUGCCCGUCGGAGCCCGCGCGAGUGUCGUCUGCCCCCCUCGGCCCCGGCUCGCAGCCGUCAGUGCGUCCGUCUGUCCGAUCCGCAGUCCGUUGCCUCCCGCGGGCCGCUGGGGAGCGCGCGAAGCUGGCGCACUUGUCUUCGGCGGGCGCCGCCAGCACCUUUAAAUCGCGCUCCUCUUUCUCAUUCACAUUUUGCCUGCUGCCCGGCCGGGCUUACGUCACGUGGGGCCGGACGCCACCGCCUAUUGGCUGCGCCGGGAGGAGGCGGAGCGAAAACGGGGCUCCGCCCCUUCCACCAGGGCUGGCCGGGAGCGGGCUGCGGGCGCCGCCGGCGGAGCGCGCGGGCCCGAGAGCCGGAGCCUGCGCGCCGGGCCCGCGCCGCGCAAACUUGAAAGGGGCUGUUGCCUCCAAAGCUCCAAGGCUCGAGCCCCGUGGCCCGGCAGCCUCGUCGAGGCCGCGUCCAAGGGCAGCUUCCGGGGCUAGGACCUACCGCGGCUCAGCCGAGGGCGUUUUAUUUCUUCCUCCUAGCGCUGGAACAAACCUGCCCGCGGCUCACCCUAGCGUUGGGUGCUGCUGCUGCGCCCGUGCUCCAGAAGAGGUUCCCGGAGUUGGGAGCAAGGUCCUGCCCCUUCACAUCCGCCCCCAGGGCGCUGGUCGGGAGCCGGAAGGCCCUAGCCACCGGCGGGAGCCGGCCGGGUCUCUGAGCGCGCCCCCCGCGCUCCCGGGCGGGGCGAGGAGGCUGCUGGUUCCCCCAUCCCGAGCUGGGCCCUCCUGCGAGCGAUCCCUUCUCAUUUUUCAUGACAUUCUUAAUCAUCGCACCUAUUUACACACUUUGCCUGCGCGCACCAAAAUAACAGCCACGAUAAUUAUGAUAAUAAAGCGAGUCCUUUAUCUGCUCCAUCCUCGGGGAGGAAGGGGGAGUUGCUGUGCCUCCAGAUUGUAUAACGUGAGAUUAUCCUGA